rnacentral:rRNA from 1 species
GUGCCAGCAGCCGCGGUAAUACAGAGGGUGCAAGCGUUGUUCGGAAUUAUUGGGCGUAAAGGGAGUGUAGGCGGCUUGUUAAGUCUUCUGUGAAAUCUACGGGCUCAGCCUGUAACGUGCAGAGGAAACUGGCGAGCUUGAGUGUCGGAGAGGAUAGGGGAAUACCCGGUGUAGAGGUGAAAUUCGUAGAGAUCGGGUGGAACACCAGUGGCGAAGGCGCCUAUCUGGCUGACAACUGACGCUGAGACUCGAAAGCAUGGGGAGCAAACAGGAUUAGAAACCCCAGUAGUCC